rnacentral:rRNA from 1 species
GCUACAUGUCACCGCAUGGUGGUGUGUGGAAAGGGUUUACUGGUCUUGGAUGGGCUCACGGCCUAUCAGCUUGUUGGUGAGGUAAUGGCUCACCAAGGCGACGACGGGUAGCCGGCCUGAGAGGGUGACCGGCCACACUGGGACUGAGACACGGCCCAGACUCCUACGGGAGGCAGCAGUGGGGAAUAUUGCACAAUGGGCGAAAGCCUGAUGCAGCGACGCCGCGUGAGGGAUGACGGCCUUCGGGUUGUAAACCUCUUUCAGCAGGGAAGAAGCCACAAGUGACGGUACCUGCAGAAGAAGCGCCGGCUAACUACGUGCCAGCAGCCGCGGUAAUACGUAGGGCGCAAGCGUUGUCCGGAAUUAUUGGGCGUAAAGAGCUCGUAGGCGGUUUGUCGCGUCUGCUGUGAAAGCCCGGGGCUUAACCCCGGGUGUGCAGUGGGUACGGGCAGACUAGAGUGCAGUAGGGGAGACUGGAAUUCCUGGUGUAGCGGUGGAAUGCGCAGAUAUCAGGAGGAACACCGAUGGCGAAGGCAGGUCUCUGGGCUGUUACUGACGCUGAGGAGCGAAAGCAUGGGGAGCGAACAGGAUUAGAUACCCUGGUAGUCCAUGCCGUAAACGUUGGGCACUAGGUGUGGGGGACAUUCCACGUUUUCCGCGCCGUAGCUAACGCAUUAAGUGCCCCGCCUGGGGAGUACGGCCGCAAGGCUAAAACUCAAAGGAAUUGACGGGGGCCCGCACAAGCGGCGGAGCAUGCGGAUUAAUUCGAUGCAACGCGAAGAACCUUACCAAGGCUUGACAUAUACCGGAUCGUUCCAGAGAUGGUUCUUCC